GUCUAUGGCCAUGCUACCCUGAAAAAGCCCAAUCCUGUCUGAUCUUGGAAGUUAAGCAGGGUAAGGCCUGGUUAGUACUUGGAUGGGAGAUCACCUAGAAAGACCAGGUGUUGUAGGCA
rnacentral:rRNA from 1 species